AAGGUGGAUGUGCCCGAAAAGGGAACCUGAACACAGGUGCUGCAUGGCUGUCGUCAGCUCGUGUCGUGAGAUGUUGGGUUAAGUCCCGCAACGAGCGCAACCCUUGUCAUUAGUUGCUACGAAAGGGCACUCUAAUGAGACUGCCGGUGACAAACCGGAGGAAGGUGGGGAUGACGUCAGGUCAUCAUGGCCCUUAUGGGUAGGGCUACACACGUCAUACAAUGGCCGGGACAGAGGGCUGCCAACCCGCGAGGGGGAGCUAAUCCCAGAAACCCGGUCGUAGUCCGGAUCGCAGUCUGCAACUCGACUGCGUGAAGUCGGAAUCGCUAGUAAUCGCGGAUCAGCUUGCCGCGGUGAAUACGUUCCCGGGUCUUGUACACACCGCCCGUCACACCAUGGGAGCGGGUUCUGCCAGAAGUAGUUAGCCUAACCGCAAGGAGGGCGAUUACCACGGCAGGGUUCGUGACUGGGGUGAAGUCGUAACAAGGUAACCGUAA
rnacentral:rRNA from 1 species